CCUACGGGGUGCAGCAGUGAGGAAUAUUGGUCAAUGGACGGAAGUCUGAACCAGCCAUGCCGCGUGCAGGAAGACGGCUCUAUGAGUUGUAAACUGCUUUUGUACAAGGGUAAACCUGAAUACGUGUAUUCAGCUGAAAGUACUGUACGAAUAAGGAUCGGCUAACUCCGUGCGAGCAGCCGCGGUAAUACGGAGGAUCCAAGCGUUAUCCGGAUUUAUUGGGUUUAAAGGGUGCGUAGGCGGAUUGAUAAGUUAGAGGUGAAAUGUCCGAGCUUAACUCGGGAACUGCCUCUAAUACUGUUGAGCUAGAGAGUAGAUGCGGUAGGCGGAAUGUAUGGUGUAGCGGUGAAAUGCUUAGAGAUCAUACAGAACACCGAUUGCGAAGGCAGCUUACCAAUCUAUAUCUGACGUUGAGGCACGAAAGCGUGGGGAGCAAACAGGAUUAGAUACCCGUGUAGUC
rnacentral:rRNA from 1 species